rnacentral:rRNA from 1 species
UACAGAGGGUGCGAGCGUUGUUCGGAAUUACUGGGCGUAAAGCGCGCGCAGGCGGCCCUUUAAGUCCGUCGGUCAAAUGCCGGGGCUCAACCCCGAUGCAUGCCGAGGAUACUGGAGGGCUGGAGACACGUAGAGGCAAGCGGAAUUCCGGGUGUAGCGGUGGAAUGCGUAGAGAUCCGGAAGAACACCGGAGGCGAAGGCGGCUUGCUGGGCGUGAUCUGACGCUGAGACGCGAAAGCGUGGGGAGCAAACAGG